rnacentral:rRNA from 1 species
UAUGCAUGCAGUCGAGCGAAGCUUUUCAGUAGUUUACUACAGAAAAUGACUGAGCGGCGAACGGGUGAGUAACGCGUGUGCAAUCUACCUUAGUUACAGGGAUAGCCCGAGGAAACUCGGAUUAAUACCUGAUAUUCUUUAUUUCUCGCAUGAGAAUAAAAGGAAAGGUCAGCCGAACUAAGAUGAGCUCGCGUUCUAUCAGCUAGUUGGUGAGGUAAAAGCUUACCAAGGCUACGACGGAUAGCUGGUCUGAGAGGACGAUCAGCCACACUGGGACUGAGACACGGCCCAGACUCCUACGGGAGGCUGCAGCAGGGAAUAUUGUGCAAUGAACGAAAGUUUGACACAGCGACACCGCGUGUGGGAUGACGGAUCUAGGUUUGUAAACCACUUUCAGGAGGGAAGAAAAUGACGGUACCUCCACAAGAAGCCCCGGCCAACUACGUGCCAGCAGCCGCGGUAAUACGUAGGGGGCGAGCGUUGUCCGGAUUUAUUGGGCGUAAAGAGCUCGUAGGCGGUUCAACAAGUCGGUCGUGAAAGUUCAGGGCUCAACCCUGAAAUGUCGAUCGAUACUGUUGUGACUAGGAUACGGUAGAGGUGAGUGGAAUUCCGAGUGUAGCGGUGAAAUGCGUAGAUAUUCGGAGGAACACCAAUUGCGAAGGCAGCUCACUGGGCCGCUAUCGACGCUGAGGAGCGAAAGCUAGGGGAGCAAACAGGAUUAGAUACCCUGGUAGUCCUA